rnacentral:rRNA from 1 species
UAUAAUAAAAAGCCUAAAAAGUCGUGGUCAUAGUCUCUCUUACCGUUCUUUAGACUCCAACGGACACCCCUAUCACUCCUAGCUGCACUUCCGGUUCUACCCUUAGAAGGUGUCGUUCCGACAGACGCCGCCUACGUAAUAUACUCAUUUUUUUUAGCCACCCACCUCCGAUGGCAAACAAGACAUUGCCAACUCCGCACCGAGUCAGGCCACCCACAUGUAGAUUCGGCGGAUUACCCCCACUGCGGCAGGUCUAUUUCCUUUUGCAAUUAUUAGUAGGCUGAAUAGAAAGAGAAACAUUCGGAGGAAGAGAUGCACGGUGCACGGUGCAGUCCGACGCCGACGGGUGGCGAAGCGAGGUUGGAAUAGAAUAGAGAUUGCGUCGAGGAGGUGAGUAAAGAAGAAGAAAGAAGGAGUAUGUAGGGUAGCGGUUCUCUAAUCGGUACGGCUCGUCGGCUCGUGGUGGUGUUGUCGAUCCUUCUACCUUCUCGAAACUGCAGCGGACAGCCGUGGUUGUCGGCCUCGAGGAGGCAACGUAUCAACCUCCGCCGUAUCGACGUUUCGUCGCGGGUACCUCCCCUCGGUACCACUCGUGGUGGUGUUGUCGCCCCCUUGGCCCUCCACGACGGCCGCUAUUCUUUGCCGCGAGCAGCUGCUUGCGACCACGACGUUGCGUGCUUGCGCAGCUGCCGGCGGUCAUACGCUGUGUUGUUGAACAGGUGCCGGUAGUGCUACGCAACGUUGGAGCAGGCACUACGUUACAUUGGAGCACACGGCAACGUCAUGAGCUCGCUGUCGCCCCCCUCGACGAGCCGCGUCCGCUGCUUCGACGUUACCUCGCGAGCUGCGGCUGCCGCCUCGACGUUACCUCGACGAGCCACGCCCACCGCGUCGACGUUACCUCGACGAGCCGCGUCCACUGCCUCGAUGUUACCUCGCGAGCUGCGGCUGCUGCCUCGACGUUACCUCGACGCGCCGCGUCCGCUGCCUCGACGUUACCUCGCGAGCUGCGGCUGCUGCCUCGACGUUACCUCGACGCGCCGCGUCCGCUGCCUCGACGUUACCUCGCGAGCUGCGGCUGCUGCCUCGACGACCGCGUCCGCCGCCUCGACGUUACCUCGACGAACUGUGUCCGCCGCCUCGACGUUACCUCGACGACAACCUUUAUACGGGAUCUCCGUUAUUAUUUUACCCAUAAUAAUAUAAAGGAACAAGUACUAUUAACAGAUAACAAGUACGAUAUUAACACAAUAGGCCUUUAGCAUUAUGUACACACUUAUGUAUCUGG